rnacentral:rRNA from 1 species
UACAGAGGGUGCAAGCGUUAAUCGGAAUGACUGGGCGUAAAGCGUGUGUAGGUGGUUGGAUAAGUCAGAUGUGAAAUCCCCGGGCUUAACCUGGGAACUGCGUUUGAAACUACAAGGCUAGAGUGUGGCAGAGGGGGGUGGAAUUCCACGUGUAGCAGUGAAAUGCGUAGAGAUGUGGAGGAACACCGAUGGCGAAGGCAGCCCCCUGGGUUAACACUGACGCUCAGGCACGAAAGCGUGGGGAGCAAACAGG